GAUUGGGUCCCGUGCGGCGUCAUGCUGUGAAUCUUGUCAGGGCCGGAAGGCAGCAGCAAUAAGC
rnacentral:SRP_RNA from 1 species